GAUGAACGCUAGCUACAGGCUUAACACAUGCAAGUCGAGGGGCAGCAUGAACUUAGCUUGCUAAGUUUGAUGGCGACCGGCGCACGGGUGAGUAACGCGUAUCCAACCUGCCCUUUACGCGGGGAUAGCCUUCUGAAAGGAAGUUUAAUACCCGAUGAAUUCGUUUAGUCGCAUGGCUUGAUGAACAAAGAUUCAUCAGUAAAGGAUGGGGAUGCGUCCCAUUAGCUGGUUGUGGGGUAACGGCCCACCAAGGCGACGAUGGGUAGGGGUUCUGAGAGGAAGGUCCCCCCACAUUUGGAACCUGAGACACGGUCCAAACUCCUACGGGAGGCAGCAGUGAGGAAUAUUUGGGUCAAUGGGCGCGAGCCUGAACCAGCCAAGUAGCCGUGGAGGACGACGG
rnacentral:rRNA from 1 species